rnacentral:lncRNA from 1 species
UUCCGUGCAAAAAACGCAGUAUAAGAAAAACAAAAAGAAGAAGAGAACAAAAACGUGAUAAAAUUGGAAACAACAGCUCAACAGGACACCCAUACAAAUAACAUCCUAGGCAUAGAUGCAUGCCUCACAUCAAAACUCAGCCGUAUUAAUUUAUAAAAAUAUUAAAUGCUAUUUCUGAAUUUAUUUUAAUUUUUAAUUUAGUUAGAUAUUUUU